GUGGGGAAUAUUGGACAAUGGGCGCAAGCCUGAUCCAGCCAUGCCGCGUGUGUGAUGAAGGCCUUAGGGUUGUAAAGCACUUUUGUCCGGGAAGAUAAUGACUGUACCGGAAGAAUAAGCCCCGGUUAACUUCGUGCCAGCAGCCGCGGUAAUACGAAGGGGGCUAGCGUUGCUCGGAAUCACUGGGCGUAAAGGGCGCGUAGGCGGACUCUUAAGUCGGGGGUGAAAGCCCAGGGCUCAACCCUGGAAUUGCCUUCGAUACUGAGAGUCUUGAGUUCGGAAGAGGUUGGUGGAACUGCGAGUGUAGAGGUGAAAUUCGUAGAUAUUCGCAAGAACACCAGUGGCGAAGGCGGCCAACUGGUCCGAUACUGACGCUGAGGCGCGAAAGCGUGGGGAGCAAACAGGAUUAGAAACCCUUGUAGUCC
rnacentral:rRNA from 1 species